rnacentral:tRNA from 1 species
GAGUGUAGUUCAAUGGUAGAACUUCAGCUUCCCAAGCUGACGGCGCGGGUUCGAUUCCCGUCACUC